UCCUUUAAUUAGUCCACACACACUCCUAGA
rnacentral:piRNA from 1 species